UCGCUCUUAUCAGGUGCUAUGGAGAAGCUUCAUUUUACGCCGCCUUGGUUAGAGGAGGCUUGCAUCGCGGACCGCACUUCGCAGUGCCGCAUGCUUACUCAGUUACUGAUUUCCGAGUAACUCCAAGGAUGCAUACGGCUCCGACUGACCAGCGAGUUCUUGAAGACCUCGGUCGAGUGGAAGCGACGCUCUUCCUACCUGAAGCUGGUCCUUCCCGCCCCUUGUGUGCCGAGCGCACCGGAGGCCGCCCAGCCUCACGCACCGCGGCGUCUGCUGGUGUACGGCGCGGUGUUCUCCCUGAACGUGGCCCUGACGCUGCCUCUGGCCUGGUUGGGGGCCAUGGAGCUGCGCAAAGCGAUACCAACUGUGCUGACCUUCUACGCGUCCGUGUUUCUGAGCCUGCUCUCGAUUGCGUGGAUCCUAAUGCCCAUCGCUUGUUUCGCGAUGUACUUCAAGAAGAAAAGGAAGCCGGAGACUUCAGAGGUGGUCAUGGAGUCUUAAAUUGUGAAGUUUCCAAGAAUAAUAAUGGUAACAGAGUGGCUGGCCUGAAGAAGAAAGAAAAACAAAAAAUGCAAAUUCUUGUUUUUUGUACGCUUUCCAUUUUUAACUCCAGAAUCCAUCGAUAAGCACUCGAUCGUGUGUGUUUUUCUUGCGUUUACUAGAUUUACUUGCACAGUUUAUCACAUUACGAGGGAUAUCGAAGAAUGAGGCGUGUAAUGACAUUGCCUUUAUCUAAGGCGAGUGUCUGUAUGUCUGCGAG